GCCACAUCAUGUUGAAACACCAGUUGCCAUACGAUCACUUAAGUUAAGCAACAUCAAGCCUGGUCAGUACCUAGAUGGGUGACUGCUUGGGAAUACCCGGAGCU